AUUGAACGCUAGCGGGAUGCCUUACACAUGCAAGCCGAACGGCAGCACGGACUUCGGUCUGGUGGCGAGUGGCGAACGGGUGAGUAAUGUAUCGGAACGUGCCUAGUAGCGGGGGAUAACUACGCGAAAGCGUAGCUAAUACCGCAUACGCCCUACGGGGGAAAGCAGGGGAUCGCAAGACCUUGCACUAUUAGAGCGGCCGAUAUCGGAUUAGCUAGUUGGUGGGGUAACGGCUCACCAAGGUGACGAUCCGUAGCUGGUUUGAGAGGACGACCAGCCACACUGGGACUGGGACACGGCCCAGACUCCUACGGGAGGCAGCAGUGGGGAAUUUUGGACAAUGGGGGAAACCCUGAUCCAGCCAUCCCGCGUGUGCGAUGGAGGCCUUCGGGUUGUAAAGCACUUUUGGCAGGAGAGAAACGUCAUGGGCUAAUACCCCGUGAAACUGACGGUACCCGCAGAAUAAGCACCGGCUAACUACGUGCCAGCAGCCGCGGUAAUACGUAGGGUGCAAGCGUUAAUCGGAAUUACUGGGCGUAAAGCGUGCGCAGGCGGUUCGGAAGAAAGAUGUGAAAUCCCAGAGCUUAACUUUGGAACUGCAUUUUUAACUACCGAGCUAGAGUGUGUCAGAGGGAGGUGGAAUUCCGCGUGUAGCAGUGAAAUGCGUAGAUAUGCGGAGGAACACCGAUGGCGAAGGCAGCCUCCUGGGAUAACACUGACGCUCAUGCACGAAAGCGUGGGGAGCAAACAGGAUUAGAUACCCUGGUAGUCCACGCCCUAAACGAUGUCAAUUAGCUGUUGGGGUACUAGAUGCCUUAGUAGCGAAGCUAACGCGUGAAAUUAACCGCCUGGGGAGUACGGUCGCAAGAUUAAAACUCAAAGGAAUUGACGGGGACCCGCACAGGCGGUGGAUGAUGUGGAUUAAUUCGAUGCAACGCGAAGAACCUUACCUGGUCUUGACAUGUACGGAAUCCUCCAGAGACGGAGGAGUGCCUUCGGGAGCCGUAACACAGGUGCUGCAUGGCUGUCGUCAGCUCGUGUCGUGAGAUGUUGGGUUAAGUCCCGCAACGAGCGCAACCCUUGUCAUUAGUUGCCAUCAUUAAGUUGGGCACUCUAAUGAGACUGCCGGUGACAAACCGGAGGAAGGUGGGGAUGACGUCAAGUCCUCAUGGCCCUUAUGACCAGGGCUUCACAAGUCAUACAAUGGUCGGUACAGAGGGUAGCCAAGCCGCGAGGUGGAGCCAAUCCCAAAAAACCGAUCGUAGUCCGGAUUGCACUCUGCAACUCGAGUGCAUGAAGUCGGAAUCGCUAGUAAUCGCAGGUCAGCAUACUGCGGUGAAUACGUUCCCGGGUCU
rnacentral:rRNA from 1 species